rnacentral:lncRNA from 1 species
UAGCAACUUAUCAUUAUUAUUUUCCACUCAGAAAAUGGUGAUAUUAUUAAAAUAGUUUGUAUUAACAACUAGGUUAACAAAACAGACAAGUUUUUAUAGGAUACGGACUUUAAAAAAAAUAUUACACUGCUAUUGACUAGAAGUCCCAAUUUCCAAAUUCCGUGAAAAAGAUGGCGUUUUAAAUCGAAAACGAGGUCGGUGACCCCAUUUUUUUAUUUGCUUAUUUUAAAGCUUUUACCUAGCCUAAAGUAAAAAUAAAAUAAAAAAGAAGAAGAUAUUAUUGGUAGAUCUGAAUAGAAGGAUUUGUCUUUAAUCCAAUGCGACUGAAUACUAAUAUACAAACGACAUUGUGAAAGAAAAUGAAGAUAUUCUCAGAUAAUUAAUUUGAACCAUUUAUUCCCUGUAAACUGAAAUUUUACGUUCCUUACUAAUCAUCAGAAAAUCUGCUGGUGUCAUGCGACUUUUAUCAAGUUUUUAAUGAAAACUUUUGGUAGUGAAACCACUGCUAUAAAUGGGCAUUUUAAUUUAACAAAGACUUCAUUAGUAGUAAUUUUUAUUAUAACAAAUGUCCUAUACCUGCCAGACUCAGCAGGAAUUAAUUGUUUUACAUAACCGCCUACUGUAUUGAUAUGAUGAUGAAUAAUGGGGAACAUGGAAAAUCUCUCUCACCUUUAAUUCAAAAUGUUUGUGUUUCAAAUAUACAGAAAUCCGAUUGCUUGCUAAAAUUCGCUCUGAUUGCUUUUUGCUAAUUACUUAUAAAACCUGUCUCCCUUCUAAUCACGUUGGAUGACACUUUUUGUGAAUUAAUUAUUAUACGGGCAAAGUAUUCGUACAUUAUCAAUGCGACAUUCUGACCAUCGGAAAUAUUUUUCAAAAGGAAGUACAAAAAAUGUAUACUUAGCAAUUAUUAAUCCAAACCUCAUACAAAUAAAUAAAUAACGAUAGCGUUUGUAAUUUUCCUUUAGGAACUAAAUGGCACUAAGAAAACCAGUAAAUAUCUGUUGAUGCGAUGUCUCUAUACAAGACGCCUUGUUUAUACCAAUGAAUAACACAAAAUAUCAACAAAAAUGUAUAUAAGAAAAGCCCAUUAGUUAGGUUACUCAUAGCUUAACAUUAUGUAUGUGUGGCUUAAGUUAUAUUCGUUCUAUAUCGGGUUUUUGUCCUUUUGAC